CGAGUGUGGUGUUCUUCAGCUCUUUGGGUGUUAAGCAGCGGUGGUAACAGCAGCAGAAGGAGCCUGGUGGCUGAGGAAGUGAUUGGCAUUCGAGAUUAUCAGGCAGAAGUACAAGUACAUGAAGGUCUACAAACUGCAUGACUGCUGAAGGACACAUGAUUGCAAUGGCCAGAAUCCAGAUGACUGUUACAAUGAUGAUAGCGGUUGAGGUGGUCAACUUCUGCUUAAACGGAUAAACGAUGCAUCGAAACCUGCAGCAAAGGCAUCCAGGAAUCAAUUGCAACCAGAGUGAAGAUGGAAGCAGAGACAGAGAUUCCUUGGACCAUCCCACUCAUCUUGCAAACCAUGCUCCCAAAUGGCCAUCCUGGAAAGAAACAGAACAGUAUAGCAGACUACUCCAUUGCCAACCAUACAGAGCAGGAAGAUGAGGAGGUAAGAGACAAUGAAGACAGCUGCCACUGAAGGCUGAUGAUGGUAGAAGUCCACGUAAGAGACAUUGCCUUCUAAGUAGAGGUGCACUGUGUCCAUAAAGAUGAGAUGGCAUAUAGCACUAGUGACAAGAAAACACCAGCAGUUUUUGUGGCAAGCUCCUGAAGCAGAUUGUGAUAUUGCUGUUGCAUGGCAUGUGGCUGUAGGAAUAUUCACAUGGUAUCCGGUGAAGAUAAUUAUCCUCUCUUCUCUACG